rnacentral:rRNA from 1 species
CAGCACCUCAAGUGGUCAGGAUGAUUAUUGGGCCUAAAGCAUCCGUAGCCGGCGCUGUAAGUUUUCGGUUAAAUCUGUACGCUCAACGUACAGGCUGCCGGGAAUACUGCAGCGCUAGGGAGUGGGAGAGGUAGACGGUACUCGGUAGGAAGGGGUAAAAUCCUUUGAUCUAUUGAUGACCACCUGUGGCGAAGGCGGUCUACCAGAACACGUCCGACGGUGAGGGAUGAAAGCUGGGGGAGCAAACCGGAUUAGAUACCCGCGUAGUGC